ACAGAAGCUGUGGAAGGCGCCAUCCUGCCUGCCACAGGAAGGGCCUUGGACUGAGAGGACCGGAGCUGACUGGGGAUUAUUCAAAGCCAAAAGCCAACAGAGCCCCCAUGGAGAAGUGGAGGAUGCUCAGAUACUGCUAUGGAGCCCUGAGAAGUGAAAUGGGUCCAAGCCCUUGCCCAGGAUAGAGCGCUCCAAGCGCAUCCUCCGGGGACCCUUUUAAUCAGUGAAUUGUUCACCUCUCACUGUUUCUUCCCAGCAGAGCUAAGAGACUUCUAGAGCCUCUUGUGGAUGGUCAGCGAUAGCCCUGGUCACAAUAUGUGGAGCUGACAAGGUUCCCCUAUUAUCAGUGACAAUGGUGGAAUGUGGAGGUGAAGUUAACACCUUCGUGGCUACAGAGUUUCCUUAGCAGAGCUGUGGAGUGUGACAAUGGUGUUUGUGUCUAAACUAUCAAACGCCAUUAUCACACUAAAUAGCUACUGCUAGGCAAUCCUUCCCUCGAUAAAUGUCUUGGCAUCGUUUGCUUUGAGCAAGAAGGUUCAUCUGAUAUCAGUCUUCUCAAUCUUGUGUACUUACUGAAUAAAGUCUGGCUCUUUUGCACUCAUAACCAA
rnacentral:lncRNA from 1 species